rnacentral:rRNA from 1 species
AAUCAACGCUGGCGGCGUGCCUCAGACAUGCAAGUCGAACGAUUAAAGCUCUCUUCGGAGAGUGUAUAGAGUGGCGCACGGGGUGAGUAACACGUAAGUAAUCUACCUUCGAGUGGGAAGUAACGUCCGGAACGGACGCUAAUACCGCAUAAUGCAGCGGCAUCGCAAGAUGACAGUUGUUAAAGAUUUAUCGCUUGAAGAGGAGCUUGCGGCAGAUAGUCUAGUUGGUAAGGUAAUGGCUUACCAAGGCUACGAUCUGUAACCGGUCUAAGAGGACGGUCGGUCACACUGACACUGAA